GGUAACCCUGUCACAGGCACCAAUAUUUUCGGCAUGGCUCUUGCAAUAUUAGGGGUUCUUCUUUACAAUAAGGCCAAGUAUGACGCACGGGAAGCAGAAAAGAAACGGACAAUUCUACCUUUCUCUUCAACAAACCACAAUCAUAUAGAUUAUCAAAACCAGUUCUAUGAUCGGUUUGUCGUAAACAAGCCAUUAAUCAAUGGAGCGUUUAACAACAACACGAAUAAAUUGAUCGCGCAGUUUGUAUGACAACUUCUCCCGUCCGCUCUAUUCUCAUGUUAAAGGGACCCUGCACCAUGAAAAUGACUGCAGCCAAGUUUCUGUGGUUCCCUGUAAUUAUAUUGCUUAUGAAGCAAAGUCUGGAGUGUUUUGAAAGUCAUGAUCUCCAUGUAAGUUGUUGGUUUUUAACAUAUUGUUAGUUUGGUUUUCAAGACUGAUUGCUACUGAUUACUGAUUGUUUUGAACAAGUGGAUGAGUGUAUGUUUUUUCUCUCCAAUUCUAGCAUUGACCAGGCGUAAAAUUUUCAGCUUGUCAUUGGGAAGAACGUUAAUACCUUAAUGAGGAAGAGUUCGAAAAACUUAAAAAAUCAACUCCUGGGACUCUCUUAAAGAAAUGAUCGAAGACCUAGUGCCAACUCUGCUCUCAUCUGGAAUAAAAAAUAAAUACCUAUACUGAAAUUCUCAAAACAUUGGACAUUUUUCAGGAAGUAACUACAUAGUUGUGCAUCUUGCCACUAUCCAUGAUUUUGAGGAUCUCCAUAGAAGGAUAUCUCGAUUACGACCAGAGGAGUGCCAACUGUCAUUAUCCACUAAUUUAUUGAAAUGAGCCUCAGGAAUAGGUUUUUAAAGUUUUGUACUUCGAAUUUUCUACUUUUUCUAGGUUUAAAAAAAAAACCAUCUACUAUCUAUAAUGAAUGACAAAAUUUUGGGCACAGCCUAUCGCUGGAAUUGGUGAAAGUUCUCAGCCAAUCCGAAGAGACCUCUUCUUGGUCAUGAAAAUAACAUGAGCUUUGCAACUCAUUGAAAUUAUGGCUCUAGUUUUUUCCCCCUUUCUGUUGGUAUUUCAGAGAAUGUUCUAAGUUAACUAUGAGACAGAUUUCCUGCAUAGUCUCAUUUUAUUCAAACAAGUGUCAGUACCUUCGAGCUAUACAAAUUUUGUUGAGUACAUCUUUCUCUCUCAUGUUACUUACUUGCAAGUUUUUAACAAUUGUUUUAUCGCCCUGCUAUGACUCAAUAUAAAACAAAAUUUGUAAUAGUCAUUGAAAACACUGCGGAGAAGUUUUCAAUAUGGUUGACACCAUGUCAUAGUUGGACUGUGAACAAAUUUAGUUUAUUCCGUCUUUUUUAACCGAACUUAUGUCGGCCACCAUGAUUCCAUGAGAUGAACUGAGAGUCUUUGAAAGCAUCGCAACAUCAAUGCAGUCAAAUCUCAUAUUCCUUCAUCACGUAUGUUGUGCUCUAAAGUCUUCUCAGUCGCUGUACUGUUCUUUUCUCCUGUACAAAGGUAGGACAGUAAUAUAGUAUAAAGCGAGUUAAAAUGGUUUUGCAGGAAGUUUCCCACAAAAAAACCCUUAUAUUUUGUUGCUUUCCUCUUACAGGACAAUAAAACUUCCUUUUUAUUUAAUUAAAACCUCUCGAACGCUACUUAAAAAUUUGAAGAACUCAAAAUCGCCCAUUUUACGGUCAAGUUUCGGUAAAAUUUAAUUUUUGGCUGCUCUCAGAGCUGAGGUAUAAAAUUUCGUCUGUAGGUAUAAAUGUUUCCUGGUAAAAGUUUAGAGGGACCGUAAGAUUUUUUUGAAUGUAGAUGCUGGAAAUGGUCUAAUUUCAGAAUAUCGAUUAUAUUUUUAGAUCGAUGUAAAUGAAACUUGUGAUCAGUGACGUAACAUUUUCAAGCAUGAACCGAUGUUGUGGCAACAACAACAACAAAACAUUUCCCAUGAAAAAGUUUUUGCUUUAAGUUUGGAUUUCAGGGGUAGGGGAUGGGGGGCUCUACCGCUUCUUGACACUCACAUUUAUUAUGUUUGCAUUCGAAUUUUCAGUUCUUUUUUCUAAAAAAAGAAGAAAAAAAGGAAAUGAAAAUUUAUAAUGGUAAAAUGUUUAGUAGAAAUGAGUUAAUACAAUGCAAGCGUGAAGAAAAAAAAAUAAAAUUAGAUUUUUCAAAUUAGAUAUCUUUCUGUGUAUCUAUGAAACU
rnacentral:lncRNA from 1 species